UUUUCAUGAUGAACAAAACUUACACCAUCUUUCGACUGUACAUUCAUUGAUGCUAUAUAAGUUUUACUGAUACGUUGU
rfam:Lucilia cuprina strain LS Scaffold148, whole genome shotgun sequence.